UACGUAGGGGGCAAGCGUUGUCCGGAUUUAUUGGGCGUAAAGAGCGUGUAGGCGGCUUUACAGGUCCGUUGUGAAAACUCGAGGCUCAACCUCGAGACGCCGGUGGAAACCGUAAGGCUAGAGUCCGGAAGAGGAGAGUGGAAUUCCUGGUGUAGCGGUGAAAUGCGCAGAUAUCAGGAGGAACACCGGUGGCGAAGGCGGGAUCCUGGGCCAGUACUGACGCUGAGGAGCGAAAGCGUGGGGAGCGAACAGG
rnacentral:rRNA from 1 species